rnacentral:pre_miRNA from 1 species
CAGAAGAUUUCUCUUGGUUCCUCCAGGAAAUCACAGAUCUUAUGAGAUUUUCUGUGACUUCUUGGAGAAAUCAGGAGAAAUCUUCUG